UUACGGCCAUAUCACUUUGAAACACCGGUUCCAGUACGAUCACUGAAGUUAAGCAACGUCGAGCCUGGUUAGUAUGGGUGACCGCAUCGGAAUACCAG